UUUUCAGGACAAGGGUUUUGCGGUCUGGGAGGCGGUUGUGGGAGGCUGGACCAGGUGAGGUGGGGUUUUGGAUAUACUUUACUGGCAUUAUCUCUUGGAAGAAGUAGUCCUUUUGUGGCAGUCUAUCGAUGGUACAAUUUCAUUCACUUAUAAAAUUUUCUUUUAAAUAUGUGGGCCUUUAUACAAUAAACAUGAGGUUUCUAUUAUCUACCUCAAAUACUAGAAUAUUUCUCCCAGGUUGGGAAAUUUUCUUUUCUAUGUCUGGUGAAGUUGAGCAAGAGCAGAGAGUCUUACUUGGAUAUUUACACACAUUUGUGAUUUGUAUAAUUGACAGGUACAGAUAGACAUGAAGAUAAUCAAAG
rnacentral:lncRNA from 1 species